rnacentral:lncRNA from 1 species
ACAUGUAAUUUUUUUGCAGCGACGACACAGUUGAAAUAACUCCUUCGUGGAGGCUGGCUACAUUUUCACAACGUCUGGUCCCAAGCUAGAUCUUCGGGAAAAGGGAUCAAGGAAAUGACUAUUCCUCCAAAUAAAAUGCAACAAGAAGAAUGAAAAAACGUAGAAGAGAAAGCCUCGUGAAACUGAGAAGCAUCUGCAACCACAAACUACAAAAUGUAGCUGCUAAACAAAAUGAAAGUUGGAUCAAAGUGGUGGCAAAUAUCAAGAGUGAAUAUACUCCACGGCAGAGUACUGCAAAUGCUGCACAUCUUUCAUGGAUUCUGGUCCACCUCGUCCUCACGCGGGGAUGCAGACUGACAAGCUUCCACCAUGAAGGGUUGUCAUUUGCCAUAGCAGGGAGAGGAAAAUGGAGCAAAUCAGUCACCAGCUCGUCAUACAGAAGAGUGUCCCACGUCAUAUCUGCUGAUAUGUUAUGGCCAAAGUACAUGACUAUCUCCAAGGAGCUGAGAGGUGAAAUUCGGACAUUUGUCUGGACGGAGUAGAACCAAGAGAGUCGUAAACAUCCUGUGGACUACACACCGUUUAACAAGAUGCAACAGUAUUCUGGCUUUGCCUUUCCUGGAGCCCUUAAACAGGCUGAAGUGAAAAGCACCAUGACCUGUCACUACAAGACGAGAAGCCUCAGGAGAAGGAAGGAGAUCCCUUUUCAUUGGUUUUGCCGAGUUUCCCGAGCUCCAUCCUCCUACAGUUAAAUCAACACUCUUUAUCCUUAGACUGCUGAUAAUCUCACCAACCGCUUCCUGUACAAACACCGGAAGUCAACUCUACAAAUUUUAGAUAAGAAAAAGCCAUGUCAGAGGGAGAUGCUCUCAGACGUGCAGAGACUUUCAAACUUCACCAGUACAUCAGUUCCUGCAAAAUAGACCAGAGAAGGUGCUUCCCGCAAAAUAAACAGGUAAGCAAAAUCUAAAAAGGUAAUGCAAGAUUGAAGAAGGCAAAGUGUAAAUAAGAACAGUGAUAUUUAGACUAGAGGGAAGUUUCAUGUUUUUUUGUUAAAAUGCUUUUGAAACGAAAUGCAAAUGUAAGGACAAUCCUUGCCAAAAAUACUGUAUAAUGGAAAAAUAAAUUUUUAAAGGCUAAUUAUUUUCAUCUGGAUUUAAUAUUCUUGGUCAUUUCAAUACACUUAAGAGACAUCAUUAACCAAUUCCUUCAAAAUUUAACUCAUAUCUCACCUCUGUUCCCCAUUCUUAUUUCUAACAC